rnacentral:lncRNA from 1 species
CCCCGGCCUCUCCCCAACCUCUUUAGGGCAGGCCUGAUGGAGUAAGGACCAGUAGGAUGCAUCCUAACUCUAGCUGGUAAAUGCCUUACCUAAUAAAUGGCCCCCGUCUUGAGUCAGCCUGGGGACUGGCAGGUGUUUUCUCCUAAUGAGAGGAGGGCUUUGAGGUCACUGGGGACUCUAAACACACCAGGUGCUGUGAUCAUUUCUUGCCAGCAUAGUCAUUAGGGGAAUGAUGAGGGCAUCUGAGCCCCAGAUGGGGAGUGGUCCCAGGCCUGGGAGGGGUCCUUGGAGGAGAUGAUGAAGCAGGGUGUUUUUCUAGAGUUUGAGACUGAAAGGGAAGGGAAGUGACAUAAUGUUGGUGAUUCAGAAGGGUGGUAUUUCAAAGGUGGUUUCCAACUGUCCUCCACCCCCACCCCAGCCUAGUCUGGCCCAGGACCCUUGACCAUCUGCUGGGAGCCAGAGCCCUGGGUCUAGGGGCAGAAAGGGCCUUGAGACAUCCCUGAGUCCUGGGCCCCAGCCCUGUCACAUGGCUGGUUAGGGCCUCGCUGGCAAGCAGAAAAACCAGUCGGCUUGAGGUUUCCACUUGAACACUCCAAAGAAAGCAAAGGGGCCAGGAGACGGGUUGUUGCUGCCUGGGAAGGACUCGGGAAAUGGUGUGUUGGGGAGGGGUCAACCUGGGGCUACCCACCCCUCCCCAACAUGUUAGGACCUGGCCAGUGGACUUGCUGUCACUCAUGGGGGAUGUGAAGCUGCUGGAGGAGUGGUCUCCUGGAGCCCCUGGUAGGCUGAGGUGAUGGGGGAGAAACGGGGUGCAAACGGAGUACGCGCUACGUCCUUGAGGAGGUCACAUCUACACUUGCACGUCCAUGUUCCCAGCAGUCCCGACCUCCCUCAGCCUGUCCCACGUGGGAAUGGUAAUCCCAUUGCCUCCCCAGACUCCCUGAGUACUUUGAGAACAUUCGAUUUUUCCUUCAAUGAUCAACAGAUACUUUUGGGAGCCUCUACUGUGUGCCUUUCUAGACAUAGCCAUGAACAAAACAAUAAACUUGUGAA